rnacentral:ncRNA from 1 species
ACCAUCUCAACGGGGUGCGAUUGUUGUCAGACAACAUCGCUGAGAGCAGACCCGUAGAACCUGAUCCGGUUGGUACCGGCGUAGGGAUUUGAGCCACUAUCCUUU